GACGAACGCUGGCGGCGUGCCUAAUACAUGCAAGUAGGACUCAGUUGCGAACGGGUGAGUAACGCGUAGGUAACUGCCUAUUAGAGGGGGAUAACUAUUGGAAACGAUAGCUAAUACCGCAUACUAGUAGAUGGACCUGCGUUGUAUUAGCUAGUAGGUAGGGUAAUGGCCUACCUAGGCGACGAUACAUAGCCGACCUAAGAGGGUGAGCAGCCGCACUGGGACUGUGACACGGCCCAUACUCCUGCGGGAGGCAGCAUUAGGGAUUCUUCGGCAAUGGACGAAAGUCUAACCGAGCAACGCCACGUGAGUGAAGAAGGUUUUCGGAUCGUAAAACUCUAUUGUUGGAGAAACGGUAUCUAACCAGAAAGCCACGGCUAACUCCGUGCCAGCCGCCGCGGUAAUUC
rnacentral:rRNA from 1 species